rnacentral:rRNA from 1 species
AUUAAGUUUAAUUUAAUAUAGGAUCUGCUCAAUGAUUUAUUAAAUAGCUGCAGUAUUUUGACUGUGCAAAGGUAGCAUAAUAAUUAGUCUUUUAAUUGAGGACUUGUAUGAAAGAUUUGAUGAGAAAUAAACUUUAUUAUUUAUAUAAUUAAAAUUUUAUUUUUAAGUAAAAAAGCUUAAAUUAUUUAAAGGGACGAUAAGACCCUAUAAAACUUUAUAAAUAUUAAUUUUGAUUUUUUUGGAUUUAUAAAUAUUUUAAUUUUAUUAUUUAUUUUAUUGGGGUGAUAAAAAAAAUUAUUUAACUUUUUUUAAAGUUUUACAUUAUUUAAUGAAUUAUUGAAUUAAAAUUUUUAAUUAAAGGAAAAAGUUACUUUAGGGAUAACAGCGUAAUUAAUUUUUUAAGUUCAAAUUUAAAAAUUAGUUUGCGACCUCGAUGUUGAAUUAAGAUUAAUCUUAGGUGCAAAAUUUUAAGUAUUAGGUCUGUUCGACCUUUAAAUUCUUACGUGA